UGAACCGGUGAAAGGGUGUAUGUGCCACCCAUC
rnacentral:sRNA from 1 species